rnacentral:lncRNA from 1 species
CUGGAUGACACCUGGUGACCACCCGCAGAGCCAAGUAGAAUCUGACCCAAAGGUCAAGGUGACCAAGGGGACAGACGCAAAGUGAAGGCAGAGAUGCCAUGCCUCUUCAUCCCAGGCCAGCCACCGGGGCCACCUGCAGGCUCGAGAGAGGAGUCCGUGUCUUCCACAGAAGCAGCCUCAGGCCCCUCAGGAGUAACCUAGGCCACUGUACUCAGAGCCCCCACGUCAGACGUGAUCCACAGUGAGGCCAGCAGGAGACCCUCAGUGCAUUGCCCAGUCACGUGGCC